rnacentral:rRNA from 1 species
GACGAACGCUGGCGGCGUGCUUAACACAUGCAAGUCGAACGGAAAGGCCCUGCUUUUGUGUUGUGCUCGAGUGGCGAACGGGUGAGUAACACGUGAGUAACCUGCCCUUGACUUUGGGAUAACUUCAGGAAACUGGGGCUAAUACCGGAUAGGAGCUCCUGCUGCAUGGUUGGUGUUGGAAAGUUUCGUCGGUUGGGGAUGGACUCGCGGCUUAUCAGCUUGUUGGUGGGGUAGUGGCUUACCAAGGCAUUGACGGGUAGCCGGCCUGAGAGGGUGACCGGCGACGCGGGGACUACGACGAGGCACAGAGGCCUACGGGAGGAAGCAGUGGGGAAGAUGGAACAAGGGGCGAAAGCCUGAUGCAGCGACGCCGCGUGAGGGAGGACGGCCGUCGGGGUGGAAGCCGCAGACAGCAGGGAAGAAGCGAAAGGGAGGGUACCUGCAGGAGAAGCACAGGCUAGGUACGUG